rnacentral:rRNA from 1 species
AGUGCCUACGGGGGGCAGCAGUGAGGAAUAUUGGUCAAUGGGCGGGAGCCUGAACCAGCCAAGCCGCGUGGGGGAAGAAGGUACAGCGUAUCGUAAACCUCUUUUGUCAGGGAACAAAGGCGGGGACUAGUCCCCGGAUGAGGGCACCUGAAGAAAAAGCAUCGGCUAACUCCGUGCCAGCAGCCGCGGUAAUACGGAGGAUGCGUGCGUUAUCCGGAUUUAUUGGGUUUAAAGGGUGCGCAGGCGGCCUGUUAAGUCAGUGGUAAAAGCCCGGGGCUCAAACCCGGCG